rnacentral:lncRNA from 1 species
UCCAUUUGGAGGCUUUCUUUGGCUUUGCAAAAAUGCACAACCAAAUUCAAUAAAGACGCUGUUGAUUUUGGUGAAAGCAGAGUUAGUCUUACGCUUUGUGGUUUUGAAAAUUCUGCCCAUUGAUGACAAUUGAAACUACUCUGAAUAUUAACUGUGAUGGAAAAAAUGCAUAGGUUCUAAUAUCUGAGACUGGGAGUUACAACUUAUAACUCCGUAAUGAGAUGUACUUCUGUAGGUGCCAGACCUGCUUGGUUUUCUCACCUCUGUGCUGCACACCCAAGAGUGACACCCUGCCUCGGGCAAGGCAGAGAUACUUUCUUGUCAAAGAGUGUCUCAGGGAGCCACAAAACAAUGAAUCAAUGGAUUGAACGUCACAAGCGCGCAACGAGCAUUCAAAGUGUGUAGCAGGUUUCCAGCUGACCAGCAACCGAAGGCUGGUAAGUAUGUAGUAGAAGCAGUACAUUUCAGGUCCUAGGGAGAGACAUGCGCUUCACUAAGUUACAGAUUAACUGCUGGGGUGCACUACAGCUUCUUUUAGGUUUGCCUAUUCAGACUUCUCUACUGAUGUGUCAGUGAUAUAGAUGUGGUUGUGUUUUGAGGUCAAACUUUAGCCUAACUGGUGCUCAGAUGCAACUAAGAUGUGUACCUGGUGUCAGGAAAUGGGAAGUUUUCUCUGUUUCUUAAUCUGGAGGUAACUUCAAGGGUGUAUUUCAUUUCCAAGUAGUGUCAUUCUUCUGACUUUGCUGCAGCCCAUGUAACUCACAAUUUCUCCUGCAUUUUUGUUGAAAUAGCAGCCUUCUCUCUGAUCAGCCAUUAAGCUAACACUGGGAUGUGGUCACUGAAGGUUCACUGCAUCCUAAAAGAAGAUCUGUGUCUGAUGCAAAGAAGAGACAAAGAACAAAGAGUUCAAACAUGGCUCUAGUCUGAAGACACCAUGGAAGAAUUCUACCUUCUAUCGGAACAUCAUCACUUGGAUUUAUGACCAGUGUAUUCCAGUCACCCUGAAAACAGUGAGUAUGCAUAGGAAAUAUUAAGGGUCAUAAUAUCAUCUUCUGGAGAAAAACAUUCAAGAAGGUGAGAAGUCAUCUUGAUUGAAAUUACUGAUGAUGACCAACACGAAGCCCCACUUCACAGU